rnacentral:ncRNA from 1 species
GAAAAGACAGUGAUCAGGAGUAGUAAUGGUUCAUACCCGCAAAUAGAGAGUUGACGGCUGGUGGAAGUCAACCGGGUACAUCAUGAACUCGCCUUUGAGUUGCAAGCGUGAAGGAAUAGUAAGGCUUGCCGUUUUCCGCGUUAAGGAUGAAUGAAGCGAGUGCAGUCAGCACUAAUGUGGGUGGUACCGCGGGAAGAUACAUACAAUCCUCUCGUCCCUUUU